rnacentral:sRNA from 1 species
AUGUACCACGCGUACACAUACCACGCGUACACAGCGGUUCCUCCGUGCCGCCGACGCCCACCUGACGACUGCUCGCUACGUUUCGUAAGCG